GACGAACGCUGGCGGCGUGCUUAACACAUGCAAGUCGAACGAAGUGGCGAACGGGUGAGUAACGCGUAAUCAACCUGCCCUUCAGAGGGGGCCAACAGUUGGACACGACUGCUAAUACCGCAUACUGCAGGGGGGGCUUGCGUCUGAUUGGCGAGUGGGAGGGGGAACGGCCAACAAAGGCGAUGAUCAGUAGCCGGUCUGAGAGGAUGAACGGCAACAUUGGGACUGAGACACGGCCCAGACUCCUACGGGAGGCAGCAGUGGGGAAUCUUCCGCAAUGGACGAAAGUCUGACGGAGCAACGCCGCGUGAGUGAUGACGGCCUUCGGGUUGUAAAGCUCUGUUAAUCGGGACGCGGUACCGGAAUAGAAAGCCACGGCUAACUACGUGCCAGCAGCCGCGGUAAUUC
rnacentral:rRNA from 1 species